rnacentral:lncRNA from 1 species
UUUCACUUGAUUUCGUAUCAAAACUGCAAUCACAUGCUUACAAAUAAUUCCUCGGAACUCAAAUAAAUGACAACUACAUUCGAAAUCACAUUCAUCUCUAGGAAAGCACACUUUAAACAUUUUCGUCAUCAUACAUUCGUUGAUAAUGAUGUCCUCACGUACAUCGUAUAUAGUAUACAAGUAAGAAUCAUGAACAGAUAAAACUUCACAAUAUACCUUUCCGGUGAACUGUUCUUGGAACUCCUUGAACUUCGCGAUUGUGUAAAUGGAUUGAAAUUGCUUCUCCAUUUCAUACUUGGUCGCACAUGGGACCAUGUGUGAAAAUGAUUUGAAGUCGGCUUGAAACUCUUUUUCAACUUUACUUUUUAAUGCACGCUCAUAUUGCUCCACAAAUUGUUUGAGGGAUUUUUUGAAUGAACAUAGCCAUCAAAAAAUGCAUUAAUACCCUCACUUUGUUGUGUGGUUGACAUACCCGCCCAAAAUGAAGUUUUCAAAAAGCAUGGAACCCAUCGACUUCUUUCAUUGUAAAGACUAGUCAACCAAGUAUGUUCUAGUAGUUCGUAAUCUUCGAGCAUCUUAUUCCAACCUUGUUCGAAUUCCUCACAACUUUGCACAUCAUAUACCAACCCAUGCACAGUAGCAAGAAUAGAAGCUUUGUAUCCAUGGCCGCCGAAUUUUUCUGGUAACUUUUUUAAAAUAUGCCACAGGCACCAUCUAUGCUUUGUGUUCGAAAACACAAUUUCAAUUGCAUUCUGCAUAGCACGAUCUUGAUCUGUAAUUAUUCCACUUGGAGCUUGAUCAUGCAUACAUUGAAGCCAUAUCCUGAAUAGCCAUACAAAAGUCCUUGUAUCUUCAUUUGAGAUCAAACCACAUCCAAGUAGAGUUGAUUGUCCAUGAUGGUUCACCCCAACAAAAGGGGCGAAAGGCAUUUCGUACUUGUUUGUCAAGUAUGUGGUGUCAAACGUAACUAUGUCUCCAAAUUCUUUACACGCUUGCCUGCAUCUAUUAUCUGCCCAAAACACGUUCCUCAGCCGGGCCUCGUCAUCCAAGUCUAUACUAAAGAAGAAACCAGGACUGGUUGCUUGCAUCUUUGAAAAAUACGCUUGUAUUGCAACAGCGUCUCCUUCACCAAGUCGUAAUCGUCGAACUUUGUCAAUGAAAUUUCUACAAUCUUUCUCAACACAUGUAAUCUUGUCAUAACCACCGGCUUCAACUACGGCUGAGUUAAAGCUCUUAUGUAAUGGUAUACCAGCUACGUCAUUUAUUUUCAAGUUGUCUUCUUACGCGUGUACUUAUUUCUCGAUUGCAUCGAUAUAGUCUUGAUUUGGAUGGGCUUGUUUUGUGAUUAUGCUCCAGAUUAAUAGCGUUAAUACGCCAUAUGCCAUUAAGUUCUGAACACGCUGUCAAUCUCGCUUUACAGCCUGUUUGCAUUGUUGGUUGAGGCUUCAUAAUUGCAUUUGUACCACUGAGUCGACAACCCUCCCGACUACAUGUAAAAGUUAC